UAUAUCCAAAAAUUCGUGAGGUAUUAAGGCGCAAAAAUGGAAAAAAUUUAAUAACACAUAGGACGAUCAAAUGCAAUUUUGAUUUUCAAAAGUUGAAGAAAAAAAAAUCGUACUAGAAAGUGAUAGGAAUAGUCUGAACGAAAUUUCAUGGAAAGAAUUGCCAGCUACGUGUAAUUUUCCGCAACACCGUGGCACCGAGCCGAUAAGGAGCAAUUUGAUCGUCACACUGCAUUUACCUCGGGCUAGUUUCCGCGCGUGGAAAGCCACGAAAGCGAACGUAUAACAACGGAUAACAACGCAACGAUCCUCCGGAGAUCUGUCGACAAUAUGUAAACUCAACUAUUCCGCCAAUUAAUUAAGCCAGCCAACUUUCUUUUAUUGCGCCGUUUAACGGUGCGUACUCCAGAGCCGAUAUCGCGAAUUUACUCAGCGUUGCCUCGCUCGGAUUAACUCGCCAGAUCAAUCCGUCAUUGAACAAAUUCCUAUACCAAGAAGUGAUUUCGCGUGAUUAUUUCUGUUUCGAUGGAUGAAGUUGCAAUUUUGAAUCAAUUUCGUCGUCGAACAGAGAGAGGCUUUAUCUGAAGGCAAAGUAAACACGAUCAUAUAAUUUUAUCAGACAACCUGUUACGAUAUCGGUUACUCAUAGAUAUCUAUUUCUUAGGGUGAUAAAAAAAAAAAAAGAAAAAAGAAAAAGGAAGAGGAGGAGAGGGUGAUCGAAAAAAAGGAGAAGGAGGAGAAGGUGAUAACAAUGGGAAGAGAAGAAGAGGGUGGUGAUAAAGAAGAAGUAUUGGCAAUCUCGUUCUCAGAGUUAAAAUUUUAGUCUACAUUUCUAGACUCGAAGGACAACUAUCUCUUUAAUGUUAAAAAUCUCUAUGAAUCAUAUUGCUUACAAUUGUACUUGUAUUCUCGUCUUAAUACGAUCAAUCCCAAAAGCAAAUCAAACCUCACUAGAUCCUUCAUUUAUUCACAGAAAUAAGAAAUUAGUAUACCUCAACAGGUUUGUAAUUUACACAUUAAAUUUGGUUAGGACGAAACGCUUAUUUUACUUAUGAUAAAGGCAUAAACUUUCAUGUGCACGUUCAUUAUUUUAUUAAAAUGAAAGUGUAUAAAAAUGAUGCAUAGUUACGUAACAAUAUGAUUGUGAAAGUAACAGGGGACAUGGAAGAGCGUGUGUACAGAAGAUGCACGUAUGAAUAUCAAAAGGAAUAGAAAUGUCAAUCCAUCGAGAACCGUCGCGAAAAUUUUAGCUGGCAAUCGUUUCGAAACAAUGUACAUACUAUCAAAGGGGAGAGCGAGAUUUUCGGCUGCCAGUGAAGCAAAUGGCCGAUAAAAUCAGGCAGCGGUGGAUCAAAGAGGCCUGGGCAACCUGUCGUCGAGCGUCGCGUCUGUUAAUCAGGGGGACGGACGUUUACCGAGAAACGUCCGGUCAAAACACUCGCGAAAUUGGGACGCGUGCCUAUUUUUCGAGCGUGACGCAAUCAGUAUGCGCCGCGGUGCAUCUCGAGCCGGGGCCCGAUGCUUUCAAGCCGGGUAAUAGCGGCGCGAUGUGAGCCGAGCCGGGUCAAGCCACCGAACAUUUAAUUUUAUCGUGUGUCGCCACACGGUUCUUCUUCUCCGAUAAAACGACGCCUCGAAAACAAUCCAAGACGGUGGCCAGAUGGAGAAAACAUCGAGCGAUUUCAACGAUGUGUCUCGCCGCGAGGUUUCGAUUCUUUGGAAGUUUGAAGAAGCAUUUGUCAAGCAUAUGGCUGAAUUUGGCUGAGUUAUCCAACGUCGUGAAUUAUCCUCUCGCUUAUCAAAGAAGAAAGAAGCAUCUCCUCGGACGAAAAAUUCCCUAGAAGCACAGAAGGUAGAGAGGAAGUUUCAUGUGCACGUUUCAUGCUCCAGUAAGACGUGCGUCGUGUUUUAAAAGGAUCGUCGGCCAGCGAGACGUAAUCCCUAUGGCGAAGAUCUGACUCGCAAAUGCCUCGGUGGCCUGGUUAAAAAUGCAUUUCGCCCGAGAAGGGUUUCCCCGUCCCGGAAGGGGGAUAACCUAUGCACGGAUUCAGCCAAUAAGCCCGAAAAGGGGUCGGUAACACAGGGAACCCGGCGACUUCGGUCGGUCAGGCAGAAUGAAUCGCGUGAACGAGCUCGAAAUCGAAGCGUCGUUAUCGAUUCCCAGACGCAACGGGGGAAGGCUUGGAAAAGAAAGAAAGAGCAAAGAAGUCCUGCUAGCUCUGUCCGGUUAGAUAACACAGGGUCACCAGGUCAUCGUUGUCUUCCGACAACAUAUCCCCGAGUUUCCCUGAAAUAUAUCGCUGUUACACUCGCAUAUUUCUGGAGAUGGGUCGUUGCUUCUGUUAUUUAACUGGUGAUUGCAGUGCACAGCGAUGGUCUCGAACACUACGUUGUAAAUAGGUUUGGAAAUUCACCAAGAAAAUCCAUCAGAUUCGAAACUAUCGCGACUACCAUGUAUUUGAAAGGAAAAGCAGUACUUUCGAGUAGAUUCAGACCUGAACAGAUCUGAAUUUUAGGAAAUAAAAAAAUGUACUGCCAAAUGGUACUGCUACUUUAUCAGAAAUUCCCUAUAUAUAUAUAUAUA